AACGAACGCUGGCGGCAUGCCUAACACAUGCAAGUCGAACGAGACCUUCGGGUCUAGUGGCGCACGGGUGCGUAACGCGUGGGAACCUGCCCUUAGGUUCGGAAUAACUCCCCGAAAGGGGUGCUAAUACCGGAUAAUGUCUUCGGACCAAAGAUUUAUCGCCUUUGGAUGGGCCCGAGUUGGAUUAGCUAGUUGGUAGGGUAAAAGCCUACCAAGGCGUCGAUCCAUAGCUGGUCUGAGAGGAGGAUCAGCCACACUGGGACUGAGGCACGGCCCAGACUCCUACGGGAGGCAGCAGUGGGGAAUAUAGGACAAUGGGCGAAAGGCUGAACCAGCAAUGCCGCGUGAGUGAUGAAGGCCUUAGGGUUGUAAAGCUCUUUUACCCGGGAUGAUAAUGACAGUACCGGGAGAAUAAGCGCCGGCUAACUCCGUG
rnacentral:rRNA from 1 species